rnacentral:lncRNA from 1 species
CGCGCGCGCGUGCGCGUUGGGGCCUGGCAAGACAUACUCACAGACUGGACUGCCUGACAAAUCCCUUCUUUUCUCUCUUUUCAUCCUUCUCUUUGAAAUGACAUCAAGAUGGACUGGGGGGGGGGGGGAGUGCUGGUGGAUGAAGGCGAAGGCAUGGAAAAAGAAGAGGGAGGGGGACUAAUUUAUGUGCUUUUCUAAGGCAGCUAGUAAAAUUCCUAAGGGAGAACGAAUGCCAAAAUUGACUGUCUUGGUGGAUUUAGACCCAAUCGUCAGGGUGAAUCACGCCAGGGCUUUGCCCUGGACCUGCAGCCUGGGGGAGGGGGGGGGGCGGGCACAGAAAACAUCCCCGGGACUGGGAUGUGCCUUUCUGAAAUGGGGAAGGAAUGGCUAUGUGCACUCACCAGAUCUCUCUCCAUCAGAUUUGUUUUUCUGUAAUUCGUUGCAAGAUGGAUUUUUUUUUGGGGGGGGGGAGGUCAAGGCUCCGAUAAAGAAAAGCCAGGGUAGAGAACUCUCUAUUAAACAUGACCCCCAACGGGAAGGGGGGGGGAGGGAGGAGGGGGAGAGAGAGAGAGGGAGAGAGAGGCUGGUUAUGAGCAUGUGGAGAGGGGGAGAGGGGGAUGGGGAGAGAGAAGGAAGAGGGUAAGGGAGAGUGUACUGUAGUCACAAUGGAAGCAUGACAGCUUGCAGGCAGACUUGUUGCUCGAGGAGGAGCCGAGGGUUCUACAGCUUGGUCUGCAGGCAGAGAGGAAGAGACUGCCACACUGGGCCUGGCUUUGAGCACUUUAACAAGGCCACAUCUCCUAAUAAUGCCACUUCCUAUGAGCCAGUGGGGGCCGUUUUCUUUCAACCACCACAGGAUCCUUCUAUCCCUGCCUCCUUUGUGCUAAAAUUACAUGUGUCACCAUGCCUGGAUGCAGUUUUAAAACACCCAUCUUGUUUAUUUGUUUGUUUGUUUGUUUAUUUGUUUAUAACAGCCAUCUUAUUAAUUAUAUUUGUGUGUGUGCACGCACACACAAACACCACACACAGGUGAUGUGCACUCCAUGGUCAGCUUCAGAGAGUCUCCUGUCUCCACUUCCAGGAGUGCUGGAAUCACAAACACGGGCUACAAGUCUGGCUUUAUGUGGGCUCCUCAGAAAUGAACAUCAGUCUGCAGUCACACAGCCUUGCAACACUUCUUUUCUUUCUCUCUCUUCCUUCCUUCCUCCCUUCCUUCCUUUGUUUCUUUCUUUCUGUUUCUCUCUCUCUCUCUCUCUCUCUUCCUUCCUUUCUCUCUCUCUCUUCCUUCCUUUCUCUCUCUCUCUCUCUCUCUCUCUCUCUCUCUCUCUCUCUCUCUCUCUCUUUCUUUCUUUCUUUCUUUCUUUCUUUCUUUCUUUCUUUCUUUCUUUCUUUCUUUUUGAGACAGGGUUCUUCCAGGCUGUCCUGGAACUCACUCUUUAGACCAGGCUGGCCUCGAACUCAGAAAUCUGCUUGUCUCUGCCUCCCAAGUGCUGGGAUUAAAGGCGUGCACCACCACCCCCUGGUCCUCUUUUGGUUUUUCAAAACUGGGUUUCUCUGUAUAGCCUUGGCUGUUCUGGAACUUGCUCAGUACACCAGGCUGGCCUUGAACUCAUAUAUUUGCCUGCCUCUGCCUCCUGAGUGCUGGGACUAAAGAUAUGUGCCACCACACCUAGUUUGCAAUGCUAUUUUUUUAAAAUUUUAUGUGCUAUACAUAGUUAUAUUAAAAAUUUUGUUUUAAAUACAAAGGUGCAAUGACAAGAGAAAAAAAUUGCCAUCCUUUUAUUGCCUUGAGAAGAUUGGAGGAAACCUGCUGAAGGAGGAAAAGGGCCUCCUUCCUCCCUCAAAACUGCCACUGGUGGCUGGGGUCGCCUGUGAUUUGGGCUCUGUUCUGCUGGCAGGGUGGAGCCUGUCAUCUGGCCCGGACAGAAUUAUUGCCUCCAAUUACAUGGUUGAUUAUCAAUUACUUGUGUCCAUGGGAGAGCAUGUGUGCAUGUGUGCAUAAGUGCCUUUGCAGAUCAUUAAAGGUCGUAAUUCUGGAUUACCAUUGAUUAACGAGAGGGAGGCCUGGUACCUCCAGCAGCCGGCAUGGCAGCCCCACAAUUACGUCCCAGCUGAUCGGUAAUUGGUGCAUCACGAGAUGAUUUUUCUCUCAGCUGCCUCCUCCCAUCUUCUCCUGCAGGCUCCGCAAUUAGCACUAUUGCUCAUCUCUUCCCAGCCCAGGCAGAAUUCAGAGGGCUGCUUCCUGGCUAGGAGAGGCUGUGGGGCUGCAUGGAAGACCCUGCUCCCAGGCAGGGUGCCAGAUAGCCGGGUGGGGGGAGCUGGCGCAUGCGCUAUGGUGGGGACAUGGGACUGGCAAGAGCUGUCUGAGAUCCAAAGCUGUCCCCAUUGUCUUGUUCAAGCAAGUAGGACCCUCAAUUCUCCACCCCAGAGCAGGAAUGUGAAAUAAUAGAGACCUGAGGAAGGGAAGUAGCGCUUUGGGGACUCGUCCUCAAACAAUAGUCUGUACUAGUACAGCAGAGGAGGUCCUCCUGCCACAACCAGCUAGCGGGUCCUUGAUGGCUGUCUGGUGUUUCCAGAGCCUUUGUAUUCUAUAGACUACAAAUAAACACCCCCCACCCAGGGUGGGGCGAGGGAUGGGGGAUGACCACAUCCAGUAAUGUGCAGAGAUAUUUCACUGCCAGUGUCUCUGCUCCUGGAUCAUGGCACCCGAUGCCUCACUGUUCUCUCCGCUUCCAGGCUGGAUCCCUAAUGGGCCCCUCCACCCCAGAUGAUAAGCCACUUGUUGCCCCCAGGAUGAGGUCCAGGUCUUCAAGUACUCCCCUUGCCUUAUCUGAUCCAUCAGUCUCAUCGUGGCUCUGGCUCCCACCUCCUACCCUAGCAGAGCUCCAUUCUUGCCUCAUUUUUCCUUCCUGUAGUUCCUUCUUGCAAGAGUAGUUAGUGCUCCGGAGCCCCACCUGGGCCCCACCUCUCACCUGAGAACCGAAGUGGCUCCACCCCCUUUCCCAUCCCCAGAAGGCACAGAUUCCAAAGCAGAACUUUAAGGAAUGCUUGCCGGGAAUGGGAGAGGAUGCAAGGUGGGCCCGCCUGGAAACCUUUUGCAGCAGAGGUUCCUGUGGCUGCUAAACCACCAGGGAGGGUUUCCGGGCCUCCCAGCUGCCUCAGCCACGUUCUUUUUUUUUUUUUUUUUAAUCUACUUCGGGUGGUCAGCGGGGUCGCAGCAAGCGGGAGGCACAAUGCUAAUGACUCUGGCUCCACGUGGCGACUAUUCAGGGCGGGGGGUGGGGUGCGGGGGGUGCGGGGAAGCUGCAAUGUUCUCUCUGCCACAUUAAUCAGAGCAACACAUUGAGAGCCGGUUGCACGGAGACAGCUUUCCUCAUGGUACCUGCCCUGCGUGCUAAUCACCUACCUUCCUUCUCGCUGGUGAGUCAGCACUCAGGCUUGACUGGUACCCAUGAAGACUGGCCAGAAGCAUCAGCUCCACUCAGGUGCCUUACCCGGAUGCCCCUCUCCUUAAUGCCCCGUUGUCCACCAUCAUCCAUCCCUUAGCAUAAAUUCUGGGCCACUUCCCUUGCCAGUUAAGACUUACCUCCUGGGCUGGAGAGAUGGCACAGUGGUUAAGAGCACUGACUGCUCUUCCAGAGGUCCUGAGUUCAAUUCCCAGAAACCAUAUGGUGGCUCACAACCAUCUGUAAUGGGAUCUGAUGCCCUCUUCUGGUGUGUCUGAAGACAGCUACAGUGUACUCAUAUACAUAAAAUAAAUAAAAUCUUUAAAAAAAAGAAAAAAAAAAGACUUACCUAAGACUGCCAGAGGGAAUUUUCUAGAGGUUUCUGAAUAGAGUCUGAUAAAACUGAGAGAGGACUCAGUGUCGGGCACUUUGAUAACAAUGACAUCACCUUAGAUGGUGUUUGGCAUGUCGGCAGGCACAAACAAGCCGUCUAGACAGAUUAGCUCAUUUGAUCCUUAUGUAAUCUUACAGAUUAGUCACAGAUGUGACCCCUCGUUUACAGGUGAGCAGGUGGCACACGGAGAGGUUAAGAAAUCAACCCAAGGUCACACACCUAGUAGUAACACCAGGAGACUGAGCCAUCGCUUUCUGCGGCCUCCAUGGCUCUCCUGCACCUGUCACCUGAGCACAAGAAAGCCUGAACAAUUUUACAUGUACAAGACAUUCACUCAUUUACAAACUGUGUAUCAGGCGCAGGUCUAGAUACCAAGGAGACGACAAUAUGACUGAUGACUGAGUGAAGUAGACCACACGCUCAGCUCAAGGCGAGGUUGGCACUAAUUCCACAUCUGCAUGGAUUGGUAGUAAACAAAAACUGUGCUGAACGCCGUGUGCAGAAGCAGUUCCCAAGAAUGCAGGUAUCGGUGGGUUCCUCGGUUCUCUUCGGGGGUCCAGGAGGCUCCCUUGAAGAAAUGACAUACUGCAGAGAUGGAUAGCAGCCACUGCCGCCGCCGCCGCCGCUGCCACCUCAGCUGCAGCUAGAAAAGCAGAUUCCCUAGCUGGUGAGGUGUGGCAUCAAACACUUGUUACCCCAACAUUCAGGAGUGGAGGCAGGGGGAUCCAGAGUCCCAGGCCAACCAGAGCUCCAUGAGACCCUCUCAGGCUCCAUCCCACACCUGCCAAGAACCCCAGUCUUGUGCAAAGGUCUUGGCCAGAUUGGCUCCAACUUCACCCCAGGUCUGAAGCAGGAACAGGACUUGUGGGGAGAGAGGAACAGGAAGGGCAGCCAGAGGGACAGGGCCCUUCUGGAGACCCUUACAGCUGGAAUUUCUCCAGUCUCCCUUGUCCCUGCUUGGGGCAUAUGACCUCUACCACAGCCUGCAGGUGCUGAGGGCAGAGGGACCUGAGAUGGCUUAGACAGGGACUGGUCUGUAGGUGUGGGGGACAGUUCUGCCCUGUGUCAUCUUUUUCAACCAGAAAGCUUGGUCAGAGGGGAGCCUGGAGGAGCAGCAGGUCACCAGGUUGAAUUUUCAGCAGCCUGAGGUAGGUAAGAGGGUGGGGGUGGCCAAAGACUAAGAGGCCUCCAGUCCCCUGAUGAGACAGCACUUUGGUUUCCAGGAAGCAGCGGUUAGAUCAUGAAUUCCGUUGCUGUGGAAGUCUAUUUUCUAGUGCCCAGAAAGGACCCCAAAGACAGCUCUUCCUUGCCCUCUAGUUUGCAGAGGAUCCAAGGAGAGGAGUCAGUUGGCUCUCAGAAAUUAGUACUGGACACAGGGUCUCUGGAGGUGGCCUCUCCCCCACCUCUGGAGACAGUCCUGAAAGGGAUGUGGCUGUAAUAGACCAUGGUCAGCAGAAGGCAGACAGCAUUCAUUGGUGCUGCUAUAAGCAGCUGAAGUCAGGAGCUUGCGGAGGGAAACUGCUCACUCUCUUCAGGCUCAACUGUUCAGACUGGGUGUGGCUGCCUCUGCUGCACAGAAUUGUCGGCCAAGAAAUAAGCCAGUGUUGGUGACAACCAAACAGCUCCCGGGGCCCACGUCUGAUGGCAGUUACAGGGCACGUACUAUGGCUAGAAAGGAUGUGAAGUCCCUUUGUGUGUGUGCAGCUCUGGUUUUCAGAUCCCUCCUCCUGUAGGCCUGUCCGUUGUAGUGUGAGUUGAUCAUCUCAGCUAGCAGCACAUCAGGCUGUGGAGGUGAUGCAGGCAUGGCUGUUCCAGAGAAGUUCUGAGGGCCAAGUAUGAUGGCUCUGAGUGUAUUAUUAUUAUUAUUAUUAUUAUUAUUAUUACAAGGUCUAAUGGAUAGCAGACUGACCUUGAAUUUAUGAAGUGAAAAUGCAAAAAUGCUUUACCAUUGAGAUAGACCUCUGACCUCUGACUCUGGACUUACUUACAGGUGUGUUCCACCACACCCGGUUUUUUGUUUGUUUGUUUCAUUGCUGGGGAUUGAACCCAGAGGUUUGUGCUAUGCAAACACACUUCAGUGCCUUUCUAAAGGAAGAAAGAAAUCAGGAGAAAAUAAACUGGCUCGGGAAUUCACCCUGGCUUUGCCGACAGCUUCAAUGAAAUACUCUGCUCCUGCCAGGGGUUCAGUGUGUCAUCCACUGCCUGGUGGGUCUGUCAAGGUGUCUGUCCUUCCUUCCUCUGCCCGUUUCCCUGGCCCUGUACUGGACUUCCUACAGGACGCUGACAGCACGGGACCUGAAGGCAUAUGGGACAAUGGGUAUCAGAGGACAGAGAUGCUGGGGAUAGGUGAAGAAGAGAAAACGGAGCAUUUGAAAAGCCCUGGCUUGUUUACUUCCAGUAUCGACCAUCAUCCCUACUGGCAUGUAAACUUGGACUAAUCUCAUCCAUUCCUGGGAAGAGUACCAUCUGGCAUUUCAUCGGGCCACAGCCUGUCUCCUCUCUAGCCUCCUCUGAUGUCCUCCUAGCUGUGUGCCAACAGAAUAAUCCAUUCUUCCCAGAGAAUAGAUGAAAGGGCAACAGAGGCAGAGACACCCAGAGUGCUGGGGACAGCCAGGGAGGGUCUCUGAUGACGGGCAUGUCAAGGAAACUGACAGAGAUGCUCAGAGAUGUGUUCCAGGUCACCUGACCUGGGGUGGCAGAAACAAAGAUCCAGCCGUGUUAACCACUAGCCUUUGCAGAUUGCUACCAUGGGGAUGAGUAAGAUUUGAAGGGGUCUUGCUGACCGGCUAAAAGGGGUAAUACUGGAAGUGAGAAUAAUGAAUCCAAGAGGAGGGCUGUAGUCUGUUUGACCCCCAACUCUGGCAGGGCCAGCACUAUCUAACAAAGAGCAGGAAGAGCCUGAAGCAGCCAGGGUGGCAGGCUCCCUCGGGAGGUCCUGGAGGCUCAAUUUCCCCUAGGCUUUCCUUGCCCUACCUGAGGCACAGCUCCUCUACCACAGGAUGCCCUGAAGCUUGCCAACAAGGAGACUGCCACUGGAUGUGGUGACAUGUAUCGCCCUCUCCGUGAAUAGACCCAAGUACAGAUUGGUAUAUUUGUUGGUGGUGUGCUCAUCUUGCCUCAUCCCUGUUGGUGACCUCAUCUCUAGGGUGACAUGGGCAAUGGUAGUGUGACCAGAACUCAGUUGGACACACCAAGCUAGGUGCAAAAUAGGCCUGUGCCCCCCCCCCCCCGUGUCCUGUCCCUCGUCCUCACUCUUCCUUCUAGUGAAAGACACAAGAAACGGUCUUGCUGCAAACUGCAAGAGGACUUUUAAUUCAAGAGCACUCUCGGGCCUACGGUCAUACACCAUGUAGGGGUAGAGGACCGUGGUGCCCCGAGUAGCUGGGUAAGGGGGUAUUUAAAGGAAGAUACCACAAUCAAGGAGGUGAGGAAGGUGUUGUUGGAAAAUACCAAAGAUACCAGUUAGGAGUCACAAGGAAGUGUAAAGUCACAAGAGUCACAAGGAAUACCUGGUAAUUGUGCGGGCUAUUCCUCAAGACAGUUUCUAAGAAGCCCCUAACAAUAGCACAUUUGCAUAGCGGGUUCCAGCAAUGGUCAGGGUGGGUUAGGGUGACUUUCUUUGAAUGAACACUCCUUGAACCCAGGAAGCAGGCGGGUGGAGGAAUGUCCCUAUCUGUUUUGUGAUUAGCAUACGUUGGAGCAUUGAGUCACAGAGGUCACAUUCCCAAGCCUGGGCCUAAAGGCCUAGAAUUUUGCUUUUAUAUUUUUUCACUAGAACAAGGAAAGGGGAAGCAGAGACUCCUUGGAAAUGAAAAUUGGGCCCAUCAUAGCCCUGGAAGCCACAUGGGUCUCCAGUACAGAAGGACUCUUCUCUUAGAGCAAAGAGAGCAUGGAGGGCAAAGCCCCUGUGCCCAGCAUGGCAGGGCGGCUGAUGGAAUGCAGUGCUAAGCAAGACAUUUAGGAGUCUUGGCCUAGCACUGGGGAUUGGUGUGUCCUGACUCCUUUAAAGGUAGGCUUGGCCCCAGCCAAAGGCCAGAGUGCUGGCUCUUGCUUAGGCCUGACAAUGGGCCAGCAGUCAACACAGAGGCAGGAAGAAAGCUAUUCCUACCCCUUUCCACCUUUCUGGGGGUCGGUAGGGAAUGAGAACCAGAAAAAGCAGCUGGCUUUGAUGUCACCAUACUCCUGCUCUGUCCGGCUUUGUCGGGCUUUGUCCUGCUUCUUCUCACCUGAGGGGCCCAGUGAGGGGUUCACCUCUCUGCUUCUCUGCUGGCUGCCUCGACGCAGGUGUUGCUGGACUUGGAGCAGAAGUUCAGCAUGACUUUGGGGGUGCCAUUGACCCCUCCAGUGUGGCAGUGGCCUGUUGAUGUCAGCUCAGGUGACACCCAGCCAUCUCACCCAUGGUUCCUCCUUGCCUAGUGGAAGCUAGGAGAGAGCUGUCUUCCGAGAAGGGAGGCUUUGGGGAGCAACCAGGCAACAGACAGAACAAGCGGAAGACGCUGCGCUCCGACUCUCUGGGUUCUUUGUUUUGAGAACAUAAAUAUAGAGAGGAAACAAAAGGGAGCUCUUGAAUCAAAUCUGUAAUCUCGGUACCCAGGAAUCUGAGGCAGGGGGAUCACUGUGAGUAUGAGGCCAGCCCGUGCAUCCCAGUGAGACUGGUUUCAAAAUAAACAAGCAAAUAAACAGUGAGAGACAGCAGCAGCAGCAGCAGUGCAGUUCCUUCCAAUCCUGUUUCUGACCGGUGUCAACACUGUCCCCAGCAAUAACCUAUGUAGGGAGUGUACAUGUAUCGUGUCCAACUUCCCAGGUGUUUAUAUAUAUGACAUACAUGUGCACACACACAUGUGAGGUCGUGAUCUUUGUUCCUCGGUGAUUUUUUUUACACAAAUGGCUGACCAUAUUGCUCUGCAGUUGUUUCCCUGGAACAGUCCAAGCUGGCCUUCGUCUUGGGGGAAAGCCUCCUUGCUUGUUUUCCUAGCUUUCUGGAUAAUAGUCCUCGGGCAGGUGUAGCACUGACAGCUGGUUCAGUAGCUUCUUUUCCCCCUCGGCUCUCACUCAAGGCAGCAUGAGCCAGCUUUUAUAGGAAAUGGCAUGUCUGCCCAAUUCCAGGGGCCACCACCCACUCUCAGAAUGUGUUAGCCCUGCCUGAUGGACAGUCGAGGUGUCUCCAAUUGUUACCACACAGACAAUCCCGCAGGGACUAUGCUGCCCAGGCCUUUCUGCAUGCCUGUGAAUAGAUUUGGGGGGGGGGGGCAUUGUUCCCUAGGCUUAAACCAGUGGGUGGGCAGAAAUGCAUGCUCACUCCUCUGUCCCGUGGGUGGACAGGUCCCAGUGUGGGAGGGUGGCUAAAGGUUCCUUGCCUGCUCAGGCUCAGCCGAACGCGUCCCAGUAGCACACAUCCCCCACGUGACUGCUGGCUGGACUGCUGUUUCCAGGAAAUCGAUUGUAAAGACCGCUGAGUGUCAGUGGCUCACACACUGGAGGCCAUCCAGGGAGUAGAUUAAAUUGUAGGAGAAAAAAAUCUUAUCCUGAGCUCAAGAUGGUUGGUAAUGGGAGCCCUGUGGUGACCUUCCUGGAGAAGUUAAAAAAAAAAAAAAAAUACAGGCACUUUUAACCGCUCCCUGGCUCACCACCUCCAGCCUACCUGGCAGAAGUGUAGUCCCUCUGCCCUUGAAGGAGACUCUCUCAUGAGCAGGCCAGGCUGCUAGGGUAAGACCUAGUCUGGGGUCUAGACUGUCUUUGCAGCCAGAGGCUAGGAAACCCUCCUCACCAAGUCUCAGACCAGUGGCUGACCCUGGCUGGGCACAGCCCAUUUCCUCUCCUACACAAACGCAGGUACACAAACACAGAGCUGACUCCUGCCUUUCCUGACAUUCCAGAACAAUCAGGUACUCCGCCAG